rnacentral:tRNA from 1 species
AAGCCUUGUGGUGUAACCACGCUGGAUUGCAAACCCAGAGAAGCGAACUGACGUUCGCCGGGGCUUC